rnacentral:ncRNA from 2 species
GACAUCUUGACGGGGUGCUGAAGCCUGACCGGGCGGACGCUGAGAUGAUACCCGUUGAACCUGAACCGGUUAGCACCGGCGUAGGAAUCGAGAUCACGCACUGA